GUCCUCAUCAUCCUCUGCUGGUGUGGCUCCUUUCUUGGUUGGGGGCUCCACUUGACGCAUAGGAGAGACGUGUUGGGUCUGUGGGGUCGUGGCUCGGGGAGUAGGUGAUCUCUUCACCAGAGAGCUCAGCCGGGCCUCCAACUUGGAAAUGGCCUGCUGCAAAUCUUGCACCUUGCCUCGAAGGUUCUGGUUCUCCACUUCCAGACUGGUAAUCCUCACAAUGAGCUCUUGCAAUGUCUCGGAGGAUCACGCUGGCACCAUUC
rnacentral:lncRNA from 1 species